rnacentral:lncRNA from 1 species
UACUUCAGCCGCACCAUUUCCCACACACAGCCGCUUUACCCCACUCUCAGCACGGCUCUCAGUGACACGACAGCGGCAUUCCCAGCCCUUCUAACCGAGCACGGUGCACGCUCCGUGUUGGGACCCCCGCUGUCGUCCAACCCUCCUCCGGUGCUGCGGAGCCGCCCUUCCCCGCUGCAGGACCGAGCCCAAGGUCACAGCCCCCGAGCCCACCCCGCGCUGCGGAGCCCCGGGAGGAGAAGAAGGAGGAGAAGGAGGAGGAGGAGGAGGUGGGGGGGGUGUCGCGCGGUCCCGCUUCCCUCCGGCUGCCGCCGCGCGCGCCCCCGAGCACGGCCGCCCCCCCGCCCCCGCGGGGCGGUUGUUGACGUCAGCGGUCGCCGAGGAACGGGCCGCAGGUGCAUCCGUUUCCUCGGGGCCGGCGGCGCCUCCCGCCUCCGUGCCGGGUGCGGAUCGAAUCGGAUCGGCCCUUCGCGCGGCCGUUCCCCGAGCGCGGAGCCCCCCUUGCCAGAGCGGCCCCGACGGGCGGCGGCAGAGAGCCGCGACGGGGCGGCCGCGAGCGCUGGGCUCGUAUCGCUAGGGGGAGGCACGGCACCGGGAAUCGGCGCGGAGCGAGGCAAGGCGGCCCCGCUGCCCGCGGGCUCGGGAGAACGUAGGGCCGGGGCGCCCCGUCGCCGGCUGCCGCGCCGCGCCCCCCGGCCCGGUUUUGCUUUCCCUUUCGGUGCCGCCUCUCCGCCGCGACGUUUUAUUUAUUUAUUUUCCCAGAGGGUGGGGACGAGGGGAGGGGAGAGACUCGCCGCGGGGACGAGCCGCCUGGCGGGGAGGAGGCGGCCCCGACACGAGAGGCGGCGGCGGCGGCGGCGGGGAGGGGAGAGACUCGCCGCGGGGACGAGCCGCCUGGCGGGGAGGAGGCGGCCCCGACACGAGAGGCGGCGGCGGCGGCGGCGGCGGGGAGGAGAAGCCGGCGCGGAGCCGCUCCUCGCAUCGCCUCGCCCACCCCGCAGCCCCUCCGCCGCCUCGCCUCCCCUGGCCGCCGGAGGC